rnacentral:rRNA from 1 species
UGGGGAAUUUUGGACAAUGGGCGAAAGCCUGAUCCAGCAAUGCCGCGUGUGUGAAGAAGGCCUUCGGGUUGUAAAGCACUUUUGUCCGGAAAGAAAUCCUUGGCUCUAAUACAGUCGGGGGAUGACGGUACCGGAAGAAUAAGCACCGGCUAACUACGUGCCAGCAGCCGCGGUAAUACGUAGGGUGCAAGCGUUAAUCGGAAUUACUGGGCGUAAAGCGUGCGCAGGCGGUUUGCUAAGACCGAUGUGAAAUCCCCGGGCUCAACCUGGGAACUGCAUUGGUGACUGGCAGGCUAGAGUAUGGCAGAGGGGGGUAGAAUUCCACGUGUAGCAGUGAAAUGCGUAGAGAUGUGGAGGAAUACCGAUGGCGAAGGCAGCCCCCUGGGCCAAUACUGACGCUCAUGCACGAAAGCGUGGGGAGCAAACAGGA